rnacentral:rRNA from 1 species
GAUGAACGCUGGCGGCGUGCCUAAUACAUGCAAGUCGAGCGAACAGACGAGGAGCUUGCUCCUCUGACGUUAGCGGCGGACGGGUGAGUAACACGUGGAUAACCUACCUAUAAGACUGGGAUAACUUCGGGAAACCGGAGCUAAUACCGGAUAAUAUAUUGAACCGCAUGGUUCAAUAGUGAAAGACGGUUUUGCUGUCACUUAUAGAUGGAUCCGCGCCGCAUUAGCUAGUUGGUAAGGUAACGGCUUACCAAGGCAACGAUGCGUAGCCGACCUGAGAGGGUGAUCGGCCACACUGGAACUGAGACACGGUCCAGACUCCUACGGGAGGCAGCAGUAGGGAAUCUUCCGCAAUGGGCGAAAGCCUGACGGAGCAACGCCGCGUGAGUGAUGAAGGUCUUCGGAUCGUAAAACUCUGUUAUUAGGGAAGAACGAAUGUGUAAGUAACUAUGCACGUCUUGACGGUACCUAAUCAGAAAGCCACGGCUAACCACGUG